rnacentral:tRNA from 1 species
GGAGCCGUGCCUGAAUAAAAGGACCACUUUGAUAGAGUGAACUAUGAGGGUUAGAAUCCCUCCGCCUCCU